AUGGCGGGGCUGGUGGUCACCAUGGCGAUCCGCCCGCUGGUGUCCAUGCUGAGGGACAAGGCGUCCAGCUACAUCCUCGAUGAGUACAAUGUGAUGGAGGGAAUGGAGAAGCAACAUAGGAUUCUGAAACGCAGGCUUCCUAUCAUCCUGGACGUCAUCACCGACGCCGAGGAGCAGGCCGCAGCACACAGAGAAGGAGCUAAAGCUUGGCUCCAGGAGCUCAAGACAGUGGCCUAUGAGGCAAAUGAAGUCUUUGACGAGUUCAGGUAUGAAGCGCUCCGCCGUGAAGCAAAGAAGAAUGGACACUACAAAAAGCUUGGCUUUGAUGUUAUAAAACUCUUCCCUACCCACAACCGUGUCGUGUUCCGUCACAGAAUGGGUAGCAAGCUUUGCAGGAUUCUAAAAGAUAUCAAUGUCCUCAUAGCAGAGAUGCAUGACUUUGGGUUGAGGCAGACAUUAUUGGUGUCCAAUCAGUUGAGGCAGACACUGGUGUCCAAGGAGUGGAGGCAGACAGAUUAUGUCAUCAUCGACACACAAGAAAUUGCCAGCAGAUCCAGACACGAAGAUAAGAAUAAUAUCAUCGACAUACUACUUGCUGAAGCUAGCAAUGCAGAUCUCGCAGUAGUUCCCGUUGUUGGAAUGGGGGGCCUUGGCAAGACCACAUUAGCGCAACUCAUAUACAAUGGACCUAAAAUUCAGAAGCAUUUUCCGUUGCAGCGCUGGGUCUGCGUCUCUGAUACCUUCGAUGUGAAUUUGGUGGCUAAGAGUAUAGUUGAAGCACCCCCCAAGAAAAAUGAUGAUACGGACAAACCAGCACUGGAUAGACUUCAAAAAUUGGUCAGCGGGCAGAGGUAUCUCCUUGUAUUGGAUGAUGUCUGGAACAGAGAGGUCCAUAAGUGGGAAAGGCUGAAGGUCUGUCUUAAGCAUGGUGGCAUGGGUAGUGCAGUGUUGACAACAACCCGUGAUAAACAAGUUGCUGAGAUUAUGGGUGCAGAUAGAACCUACAAUCUCAAUGUUUUGAAGGAUAACUUCAUCAAGGAAAUUAUUGAUACUAGAGCAUUCAGUUUAGAGAUUGAAAAGCUUCCUGAGCUACUCGAGAUGGUUGGUGAGAUUGUGAAGAGAUGUCGUGCCUCUCCUUUAGCUGCAACUGCUACUGCACUGGGAUCUGUACUUCGUACCAAGACUAGCGUGGCAGAAUGGAAGGCUAUAUCAUCUAGAAGCAGUAUUUGCACUGAGGAAACAGGAAUUUUGCCAAUACUCAAGCUUAGCUACAAUGAUCUGCCAGCACACAUGAAGCAGUGCUUUGCUUUCUGUGCCAUAUUUCCCAAGGAUUACAAGAUUAAUGCGGAGAAGCUUAUCCAACUAUGGAUCGCCAAUGGCUUUAUCCCAGAACAGGAGGAAGAUAGUCUUGAAACCAUUGGAAAACAUAUUUUCAAUGAGCUAGCAGCAAGGUCAUUCUUUCUAGACAUAGAAGAAUUUAAGGGCGACGGGGAGUAUUGUUUCAGAACUACAUGCAAAAUCCAUGAUCUUAUGCAUGAUAUUGCGAUGUCUGUUAUGGGAAAGGAAUGUGUCGUUGCAAUUAAGGAACCAAGUCAAAUCGAGUGGCUUUCGGAUACUGCUCGACACUUGUCCUUGUCAUGUGAAAAAACAGAAGGUAUUUUGAAUGAUUCUUUGGAGAAAAAAUCCCCUGCGAUUCAAACACUGAUAUGCGAUAGUCCUAUUCGAAGCUCAUUGAAGCAUUUAUCAAAAUACAGCUCUUUGCAUGCGUUGAAGCUCCGUAUGUGGACAAAAUCAUUUGCACUGAGAUCGAAGUAUCUACACCACCUGAGGUAUCUUGAUCUCUCGUGCAGUGAUAUCAGAUCACUUCCUGAAGAUAUAAGUAUUCUAUAUAACCUGCAAACGCUGGACCUUUCCAACUGCUCUUAUCUUGAUCGACUUCCGAGGCAAAUGAAGUAUAUGAGUUCCCUCCGCCACCUAUAUACUCAUGGAUGUCCGAAGCUGAAGUGCAUGCCCCCAGAAUUAGGAAAACCCAAUAAGCUGCAAACGCUUACAUGUUUCGUAGCAGCAGCAGUUAUUGGACCAAAUUGCAGUGAUGUUGCAGAGCUGCAGCAUUUAAACCUUGGUGUCCAGUUAGAGCUACGUCGGAUAGACAAUGUUACAGAAGCAAAAGCAAAAGUGGCAAACCUUGGAAAGAAGAAGGAUCUCAGAGAACUGACAUUAAGACGGACUUUUCUGUUUGUGACAACAAGGUGCUCGACAAUUUUGAACCACAUGAUGGGCUAG
rnacentral:rRNA from 1 species